CCUUUCAGUUUGGAUUGUUUUUGAUGAUAUUUGUUAUUAAAAUGGUUUUGUUCGCCAUCAUUUCUUAACCCGUAAAUCAUGAGACAAUAGAAUAUGAUCAAAGAAUGAAAACACAGAUACAAAUUGAGUGUCCUUCGAACCCCGAUGGAACUCUCAAAAUUGAUCUCGAUAACAAUUUGACAGUCGGAGCUGCCUGUUUCUACAUUCCAAAUAGAAAACAAGUUUGCGCCAUUUGUAACAAACAAAUCAAAGCUGAAAAACUUGUUUUCACGUACGUGUACGAGAUCACACAGUGCCAAGUGCGGUUCAAAGGAUGUUUUGAUUCGAACUGUUUCUUCCAGACUUUCAGAGUGAAAAGUUAUCUUCAUCUGGAGGGAUUUCACAGUUUAAUGUUCAAGGAUAAAACGGAAAUCGAAUCCAGAGUUCUUGUAAAGCAACAAGAAGUAAAGACUAUAUUAUCCCAACAAAACCGACAGGUUGGUGAACUCACUGGAAUUAUUUGCCAAUUGAGUGUUGAUCAAUUGAAGGCUCUUGUGAAUUGCAAUUUGAGAGGAUUUUUGCAAUCAGAAGAACACGACGUAUUGGUUCGAAUGGCCACAGAUAUGGUGUGUUUUGGAGCUAUUCAGGACAUGUGCCCUCAAUGCAACAGCCAUCUGAUGUUUGACGAGAUCCACUACAUCUGUGCUCGUAACGUGAUUGGUGGAGAUUUAGGGCAUACAGAUCCCUUUAAAGCGUUGUCUGUAAUCCGAGUUGAGCUUAAGUAUCCGAAAAAAUACAAGAAAAACUCAGUGUUUGAAAAGUUGAAAGCUCUGGAGCUUGGAAAGCCAAGGGAAAGAAUAUUCUUAGACAAAGAGGUUCUGUCUUGAUGUAAAGGAGCAUGUUUGGUUUUGAAUAUGGAAUACUUUUUUGAGAAAAUAUUCUUUAGUUUUGUAGAAUAGCUUGAUUUCCAUAAGAACAAACAUUUCAGUUGCGAUUAUUUUCUUCCAUUAUUUAUUCUGGAGCUGAAUUCAUAUCAGUUUUAUGUC